AGAGUUUGAUCCUGGCUCAGAAUGAACGUUGGCGGCGUGGAUUAGGCAUGCGAGUCGAACGCGAACGGGCAACCUAGUAGCGUGGCGAAAGGGGCAGGAACGCGUAAGCAAUCUACCUUCAGGACCGGGAUAUACGGUGGAAACGCCGGGCAAUACUGGACGUCGACCGCUGAUGGCAUCAUCGGCUGUCGAAAGGUUUACUCCGCCUGGAGAGGAGCUUGCGUCCUACCAGCUUGUUGGCGAGGUAACGGCUCACCAAGGCGACGACGGGUAGGGGGUGUGAGAGCAUGACCCUCGCCAUUGGCACUGAGACACUGGCCAGACUCCUACGGGAGGCUGCAGUCGAGAAUCUUCGGCAAUGGGCGCAAGCCUGACCGAGCGACGCCGCGUGGAGGAAGAAGGCCUUCGGGUUGUAAACUCCUGUUGGGGGGGAACAAUAAUGAGUGAACCCCUGAGGAAGCACGGGCUAAGUUCGUGCCAGCCGCCGCGGUAAUUC
rnacentral:rRNA from 1 species